rnacentral:piRNA from 1 species
UGACUACUUUGGGAUAUCCUGAUUGCCU